UACGAAGGGGGCUAGCGUUGCUCGGAAUCACUGGGCGUAAAGCGCACGUAGGCGGGUCCUUAAGUCCGGGGUGAAAUCCCGGAGCUCAACUCCGGAACUGCCUUUGAUACUGGGGAUCUUGAGUCCGGAAGAGGUGAGUGGAACUCCGAGUGUAGAGGUGAAAUUCGUAGAUAUUCGGAAGAACACCAGUGGCGAAGGCGGCUCACUGGUCCGGUACUGACGCUGAGGUGCGAAAGCGUGGGGAGCAAACAGG
rnacentral:rRNA from 1 species